rnacentral:rRNA from 1 species
CAGCAGCCGCGGUAAUACGUAGGUGGCAAGCGUUGUCCGGAAUUAUUGGGCGUAAAGCGCGCGCAGGUGGUUUAAUAAGUCUGAUGUGAAAGCCCACGGCUCAACCGUGGAGGGCCAUCGGAAACUGUUAAACUUGAGUGCAGGAGAGAAAAGUGGAAUUCCUAGUGUAGCGGUGAAAUGCGUAGAGAUUAGGAGGAACACCAGUGGCGAAGGCAGCUUUUUGGCCUGUAACUGACACUGAGGCGCGAAAGCGUGGGGAGCAAACAGGAUUAGAUACCCCAGUAGUCCCUGGUCUCUUAUU